rnacentral:rRNA from 1 species
GACGAACGCUGGCGGCGUGCUUAACACAUGCAAGUCGAACGGAAAGGCCCUGCUGUUGUGGGGUGCUCGAGUGGCGAACGGGUGAGUAACACGUGAGUAACCUGCCCUUGACUUUGGGAUAACUGCAGGAAACUGGGGCUAAUACCGGAUAGGAGCUCCUGCUGCAUGGUGGGGGUUGGAAAGUUUCGGCGGUUGGGGAUGGACUCGCGGCUUAUCAGCUUGUUGGUGGGGUAGUGGCUUACCAAGGCUGUGACGGGUAGCCGGCCUGAGAGGGUGACCGGCCACAUUGGGACUGAGAUACGGCCAGACUCCUACGGGAGGCAGCAGUGGGGAAUAUUGCACAAUGGGCGGAAGCCUGAUGCAGCAACGCCGCGUGCGGGAUGACGGCCUUCGGGUUGUAAACCGCUUUCGCCUGUGACGAAGCGUGAGUGACGGUAAUGGGUAAAGAAGCACCGGCUAACUACGUG